AUCAGAUGUGCCCAGAUGGGAUUAGCUAGUUGGUGAGGUAACGGCUCACCAAGGCGACGAUCCCUAGCUGGUCUGAGAGGAUGACCAGCCACACUGGAACUGAGACACGGUCCAGACUCCUACGGGAGGCAGCAGUGGGGAAUAUUGCACAAUGGGCGCAAGCCUGAUGCAGCCAUGCCGCGUGUAUGAAGAAGGCCUUCGGGUUGUAAAGUACUUUCAGCGGGGAGGAAGGUGUUGUGGUUAAUAACCGCAGCAAUUGACGUUACCCGCAGAAGAAGCACCGGCUAACUCCGUGCCAGCAGCCGCGGUAAUACGGAGGGUGCAAGCGUUAAUCGGAAUUACUGGGCGUAAAGCGCACGCAGGCGGUCUGUCAAGU
rnacentral:rRNA from 1 species